UUACUGUCAUUGGACAACUUAACAUAGCUGGAAGGGUAUAUUUUGAAAGUUACAGCAAUCCAAAUUCUAAUGAAUAUAAAACCUUGCAUGAUGAAUUAUUGCCAAAGCUGAAAGCGGUGUACAGUACAUUGAAUUCAUUUGAUGACAUACACAUCACAGGGUUCAGGUAAUUCAGCUCGUUUACAAAUGAUGUUCUGUUUUUUGUGGGAUCGACAUACAGUAGACCUGAUCUUGUUCCUUGUUUUUGCUUUAAGUCGUGGUAGUGUCAUCAUCGCUUUUGAAAUGAACCUCAACGACGUUUCAGCUGAUGUCCUUGCAAGCAAAACAGCAGAAUUGGAAAAAAUACUGAAUUCUACGUUCACGCUAGAGACAGCAGGCGUCGUUGAGAUCACAGUACCAGAAGGCCCGGUAAAAUAUGAUUCUAAACAGACAAUUCUCUGCCAAGCCAAGGAGGACAUGAAACCAAUUGAAUGGGUUUUGAAAAGGAGUGAUGGUAAAACAUUUGACGUAACAACAGGUACUGAUGCUACAGUGAUACCCACUAGUAGGACGACUACAAUUCUCCUCAGACAGGCAACGGAGAUCUGGGAAGGUCUGUACACGUGUGUCUUCAAUCCAAAAUCCUCCAAUGUGACCAUAAACCACAAAGCCAGUGCAACACUAGACAUAGCGCUCCUGCCACAAAUUGACAUCAGUAGCACGCCCCAAUUUCCGGACUGUUACAACAAAUAUAAUGCAAAUGCUAGAAUCUUUGUCAGAGUUCAAUGCGAAAUUAUGAAUAGCACUGAAAACUACAAUGUGACAUGGAAUUACACCAACACUGAAACUCCAUUAAAUGAACAAAAAGGUAACUUUCUGCCCUUCAUGGUCCUCACAUGUUAAUUACGCUAUGUUUAAGACUGUAUGUUAUAACAAUUGCUAUUAAAAUGCAAUUAGGAGCACAGUUGAACACAUUUGACAGUUAUUAAAUCUGGUAAUUUAUCCCUCCACAGAUGUUACCGGUACUGGCAUAAUUUACAGGAUUGAUACGACUGUCAGCUGCAGCAGUUUACAAGAGCCAGCUGUAACAUGUACAUUUAUUAACAUCCUGUCCCAAGAGAAAAAUGCUACUGUCAAUAUCCCUGUUAUCUACAGUAGGUUUUCAGUACCAUUAUCCAGCAUGAACAGUGUAUUUUGCCAUAUGAACAAUUAUGCUCUGAAUUGGUGCAGUAACAUUCAACGGCAUACCCCAAUCUUCUUGGAAUGGGUAACAAACGCAAGCAUAUUUUCAGUGAAAUCUAAGAUAAAUAUACUGAACAAAAAUAUAAAAAUGCAACAUGGAACAUUUUCAAACAUUUUAUUGAGUUACAGUUCAUAUAAGGAAAUCAGUCAAUUGAAAUAAAUAUAUUAGGCCCUAUCUGUAGAUUUCACAUGACUGGGCAGGGGAGCAGCCAUGGGUGGGCCUGUGAUGGAACAGGGCCACCCACUUGGGAGCUGUCCCAGCCAAUCAGAAUGAGUUUUUCCACACAAAGGGUUUUAUUACAGACAUAAAUAUUCCUCAGUUUCAUCAGCAGUCUGGGUGGCUGGUCUCAGACAAUCCCACAGGUAAAGAAGCUGGAUGUGGAGGUUCCUGGGCUGGCGUGCUUACACGUGGUCUACGGUUGUGAGACAGGUUGGACAAACUGCCAAAUUCUCUAAAAUGACGUUGGAGGCGGCUUAUGGUAGAGAAAUUAACUUUAAAUUAUUUUGCAACAGCUCUUGCGGAUAUUACUGCAGUCAGCAUGCCAAUUGCAUGCUCCCGUAAAACUUUUUUGAGUGGCCUUUUAUUGUCCCCAGCACAAAGUGCACCUGUGUAAUGAUCAUGCUGUUUAAUCAGCUUCUUGAUAUGCCACACCUGUCAGGUGGACGGAUUAUCUUGGCAAAGGAGAAAUGUUAAUUAACAGGGAUGUAAAGUAAUUUGUACACACAAUUUGAGAGAAAAGGUUUUGUGCAUAUGGAAACAUUUGGGGAUAUUUUAUUAAAGCUCAUGAAACAUGGGACCAACACUUUACAUGUUGACUUUAUAUUUUUGUUCAGUAUAGUAUCAUUUUUUAAAUUCUUGGGUGAGUUCCAGGACGACUUCAUUGCAUUGCAUCAACCAUGGGUUGUGUGACACAUCAUCGACUUCAGUCGGGCAUCAGAUUGCUAUAUCAUAUGUGGUUAUCAUCCUAUCCAGGUAUCAGAUUACUAUACCAUAUGAUGUGGCUAUCAUCCUAUCCAGGUAUCAGAUUACUAUAUCAUAUGAUGUGCUAUCAUCCUAUCAAGGUAUCAGAUUACUAUAUCAUAUGAUGUGGUUAUCAUCCUAUCCAGGUAUUGUGAGAUCUGGCAGGCAGCUUCAAAGUAGUCGACCUGGAACUCAACCAUUGUCUUGAACUUCUGAAACUAAGCAGGGUUGGUCCCUGGAUGGGAGACCAGAUGCUGCUGGAAGUGGUGUUGGAGACCCAGUAGGAGGCACCCCUUCCUCUGGUCUAAAAAAAAUAUCCCAAUGCCCCAGGGCAGUGACACUGCCUUGUGUAGGGUGCCGUCUUUCGGAUGGGACGUUAAAACGGGUGUACUGACUCUCUGUGGUCACUAAAGAUACCAUGACACUUAUCGUACGAGUAGGGGUGUUAACCCCGGUGUCCUGGUUAAAUUCCCAAUCUGGCCCUCAUACCAUCACGGUCACCUAAUAAUCCCCAGUUUACAAUUGGCUCAUUCAUCCCCCUCCUCUCCCCUGUAACUAUUCCCCAGGUCGUUGCUGUAAAUGAGAACGUGUUCUCAGUCAAUUUACCUGGUAAAAUAAGGGUUAAAAACAUAGAUUUUUAAAAGCCACCCUAUUUCUUGUUCAUCUAAAUGGUGAAAAUGUGUCUUCAAUAUCUAUUUCUUACUUAUUGUCAAC
ensembl:lncRNA